rnacentral:ncRNA from 1 species
AAUCCCGUCUGGGAAGGUGCUAACCACACCACCAGUAGCGAGUCUUGGGAAAAUGACGGCAACGUUACUCUCUAAGCGUAGACAGUCAGGCAGUAGGGCUGAAAUGUGAUUGAGCACCGAAAUCUGGGUUAAUUAGUGAGCCGACGCUUUUAAAGCAGCGGAAGGCAACAUGUGGGUUUAUCGUAAUGGUGAGAUUUCACACAUCACUACGGUGUCCAAGAGC